UACGUAGGGAGCAAGCGUUGUCCGGAAUCAUUGGGCGUAAAGCGCGCGUAGGCGGCCCUGUAAGUCCGUUGUGAAAGUCAAAGGCUCAACCUUUGAAAGCCGAUGGAUACUGCAGGGCUAGAGUCCGGAAGAGGCGAGUGGAAUUCCUGGUGUAGCGGUGGAAUGCGCAGAUAUCAGGAGGAACACCAAUCGCGAAGGCAGCUCGCUGGGACGGUACUGACGCUAAGGCGCGAAAGCGUGGGGAGCGAACAGG
rnacentral:rRNA from 1 species